rnacentral:rRNA from 1 species
CGGCGGACGGGUGAGUAACGCGUGGGUAACCUGCCUCAUACAGGGGGAUAACAGUUGGAAACGGCUGCUAAUACCGCAUAAGCGCACAGUACCGCAUGGUACGGUGUGAAAAACUCCGGUGUUAUGAGAUGGACCCGCGUCUGAUUAGGUAGUUGGUGGGGUAACGGCCUACCAAGCCGACGAUCAGUAGCCGACCUGAGAGGGUGACCGGCCACAUUGGGACUGAGACACGGCCCAA